rnacentral:rRNA from 1 species
AAGCCAGUGGUGAACUCCACAUACGCAUCCUUUGCUGAGGAUACGGUUAACGGAGCGAAAGCGACGUUCAACCUCAAAAGAAGCAGAGGGGGCUUAGUGGUGGGGUGACUGCGUACCUUUUGUAUAAUGGGUCAGCGACUUAUAUUCUGUAGCAAGGUUAACCGAAUAGGGGAGCCGGAGGGAAACCGAGUCUUAACCGGGCGUUAAGUUGCAGGGUAUAGACCCGAAACCCGGUGAUCUAGCCAUGGGCAGGUUGAAGGUUGGGUAACACUAACUGGAGGACCGAACCGACUAAUGUUGAAAAAUUAGCGGAUGACCUGUGGCUGGGGGUGAAAGGCCAAUCAAACCGGGAGAUAGCUGGUUCUCCCCGAAAGCUAUUUAGGUAGCGCCUCGUGAAUUCAUCUCCGGGGGUAGAGCACUGUUUCGGCUAGGGGGUCAUCCCGACUUACCAACCCGAUGCAAACUGCGAAUACCGGAGAAUGUUAUCACGGGAGACACACGGCGGGUGCUAACGUCCGUCGUGAAGAGGGAAACAACCCAGACCGCCAGCUAAGGUCCCAAAGUCAUGGUUAAGUGGGAAACGAUGUGGGAAGGCCCAGACAGCCAGGAUGUUGGCUUAGAAGCAGCCAUCAUUUAAAGAAAGCGUAAUAGCUCACUGGUCGAGUCGGCCUGCGCGGAAGAUGUAACGGGGCUAAACCAUGCACCGAAGCUGCGGCAGCGAACGUAUCACCCAAGACAACUUUACGGAGUUGACGAUUGAUGGAGCGAAGCGACGUCAAAGCGUUCAUUAAAGUCGAGUUGGCUUAGGGAUACGUUCGUUGGGUAGGGGAGCGUUCUGUAAGCCUGUGAAGGUGGCCUGUGAGGGUUGCUGGAGGUAUCAGAAGUGCGAAUGCUGACAUAAGUAACGAUAAAGCGGGUGAAAAGCCCGCUCGCCGGAAGACCAAGGGUUCCUGUCCAACGUUAAUCGGGGCAGGGUGAGUCGACCCCUAAGGCGAGGCCGAAAGGCGUAGUCGAUGGGAAACGGGUUAAUAUUCCCGUACUUGGUGUUACUGCGAAGGGGGGACGGAGAAGGCUAUGUUGGCCGGGCGACGGUUGUCCCGGUUUAAGCGUGUAGGUGUGUGUUCCAGGUAAAUCCGGUUCACUUUAACACUGAGGCGUGAUGACGAGGCACUACGGUGCUGAAGCAACAAAUGCCCUGCUUCCAGGAAAAGCCUCUAAGCAUCAGGUAACAUCAAAUCGUACCCCAAACCGACACAGGUGGUCAGGUAGAGAAUACCAAGGCGCUUGAGAGAACUCGGGUGAAGGAACUAGGCAAAAUGGUGCCGUAACUUCGGGAGAAGGCACGCUGACACGUAGGUGAAGU